UGGGGAAUUUUGCACAAUGGGGGGAACCUUGAUGCAGCGACGCCGCGUGAGGGAUGGAGGCCUUCGGGUUGUGAACCUCUUUCGCUCGUGUGCAAGCCGCUAUUUGGGUAGUGGUGAGUGUAGCGGGUAAAGAAGCGCCGGCUAACUACGUGCCAGCAGCCGCGGUAAUACGUAGGGCGCGAGCGUUGUCCGGAUUUAUUGGGCGUAAAGGGCUUGUAGGCGGUUUGUCGCGCCUGUCGUGUAAUCCUCUGGCUUAACUGGGGGUGUGCGGUGGGUACGGGCAGGCUUGAGUGCGGUAGGGGAGAUUGGAAUUCCUGGUGUAGCGGUGGAAUGCGCAGAUAUCAGGAGGAACACCGGUGGCGAAGGCGGGUCUCUGGGCCGUUACUGACGCUGAGGAGCGAAAGCGUGGGGAGCGAACAGG
rnacentral:rRNA from 4 species